GGCUGUAUGGCCUAAUGGAUAUGGCAUCUGACUUUGAAUCAGAAGAUUAUAGGUUCAAAUCCUGCUGUAGUCA